CUGUUGCAUGAUUUAAGUUGAUUGAUUAAUUGUUAUCACUCUUGUUAUGUUUUUCCUUCUUCUUACGUGUGUACAUUAUCCACUGAUUAUGUUAUUAACACAUAGUGUGCAUAGGUCUUCUUCUUCUCUUUGUACCUCAGAACUCUGGCCUCCCUGUCUAUUUGAGUAAGUUGUGGAGGCAUCUGAAUUGGAGGACCUGAGAAAUGUCAAUUGUCUCUUUCAUGGCAUGAACUAAACUCAGCAAGCUCCAAAAUCAGAAUCAACAUUUGUUGCAGAUGCUGGCUGAAAGAGAUGAACUUAAUAUCAAGGAGAAUUGAAGAGGUUGCGAAACCUUGUUGCAGAUGCAAAAGCUAACAAUAUAAAAAUUGUCUGUGCUUUAGUCAAAAGAAUGUUGGAAAGGAACAUGUUUCUCCAUGGGUUUGUGGAUAUAAAUGAAGGUUGUGCAACAGAAAGAGUAAAUGAACUUACAGAGAUACAGAAUGCUAGAGUCCAAACUGCAUAUGAGAAGUUGUUUGCAAACACACGAAUUGAGCACUUCACCCAUUUGGACAUGGUAUGCUCCAAAACACCUGGUCAGAUAAUUGAUGGAUUGUUUCUUGCUAUUUGCAUUCCUUAUAGAUGGAGUAUAUGUUGUUGGAUGACCCCACUAUGACAAUUUUCUGGCCUUGUUUCUGACUUAAUUCAUUCUUGGUCUGUUUUCUUCUUCAUAUAAGAAAAGUUUGUCACUGU